AAUUUUGGACAAUGGGGGCGACCCUGAUCCAGCCAUCCCGCGUGUGCGAUGAAGGCCUUCGGGUGGUAAAGCACUUUUGUCGGGGAAGAAAAGGCUCUGGUUAAUACCUGGAGCUGCUGACGGUACCUGCAGAAUAAGCGCCGGCUAACUACGUGCCAGCAGCCGCGGUAAUACGUAGGGUGAAAGCGUUAAUCGGAAUUACUGGGCGUAAAGGGUGCGCAGGCGGUUUGGCAAGAAGGAUGUGAAAUCCCGGGGCUUAACCUCGGAACUGCAUUCUUAACUGCCAGGCUGGAGUAUGUCAGAGGAGGGUAGAAUUCCGCGUGUAGCAGUGAAAUGCCUAGAGAUGCGGAGGAAUACCGAUGGCGAAGGCAGCCCCCUGGGAUAAUACUGACGCUCAGGCACGAAAGCGUGGGGAGCAAACA
rnacentral:rRNA from 1 species